UAGGGAAUCUUCCACAAUGGACGAAAGUCUGAUGGAGCAACGCCGCGUGAGUGAAGAAGGUUUUCGGAUCGUAAAGCUCUGUUGUUGGUGAAGAAGGACAGGGAAAGCAACUGGUCUCUGUUUGACGGUAAUCAACCAGAAAGUCACGGCUAACUACGUG
rnacentral:rRNA from 1 species